CCUACGGGAGGCAGCAGUGGGGAAUAUUGCGCACUGGGCGAAAGCCUGACGCCGCGACGCCGCGUGAGGGAUGAAGGUCUUCGGAUCGUAAACCUCUGUCAGCAGGGAAGAACGGUCACUGUGCUAAUCAGCAGUGAAUUGACGGUACCUGCACAGGAAGCACCGGCUAACUCCGUUACAGCAGCCGCGGUAAUACGGAGGGUGCGAACGUUAAUCGGAAUUACUGGGCGUAAAGCGCUCGUAGGCGGUAUGUCAAGUCAAGGGUGAAAUCCCCGCGCGCAACGUGGGAACUGCCUUUGAAACUGGCAAACUGGAGUGUGUGAGAGGAGAGUGGAAGUCCAGGGGUAGGAGUGAAGUCCGUAGAUAUCUGGAGGAACAUCAGUGGCGAAGGCGACUAUCUGGCACAUAACUGACGCUGAGGAGCGAAAGCGUGGGUAGCAAACAGGAUUAGAUACCCUGGUAGUC
rnacentral:rRNA from 1 species